UUGAAAUCCAAUGGCCAAUGAUAAAGACCCACAUUUUGGAUAUAUCUCCUGAGCAUGGCCCACAAGGGAACAAAACCAUAAGCUCAAAAGGCCACGUGGCUACCUGAAAUUGCAAUUUUUUAUUUUUUUUAAAAUUCUUUGAUAAAAAGGAAAAACUGUUAUCUUGCCCCACUCUCUCUAUAUAUAAAUCAUUGAAGCCUACAUACAUUUACAAAACAAAGCCAUUGGCUAAAACUUAAAAAAGCUGCUUAUGGCUGAUUACUAUUUGCAAAACAUUCAAAAGUCUUUCCCAUCAUCAGACAUUAAUUCCAACAUGGAAUUUAUGAACAAUUUUCCAGAAAUAAAUCCAAUUUAUCAGGAUACGUCAAUCUUGAACUUGCAGAAUUUGAUGGGAUUUCCCAGUGACAAUAUUUUUCCCGAGUUAAUAAACGAAUGUACAGGAAUCUCAGAAGAUUUUCCGAGUUUGUUUAUUCAUGAGGAGAAGAAUUUGGUGCCUCAAACUGCAAAUGAUCAUCGUGCAGGAAAGAAGAGGAAAGAAAUUGACACCCCACAAAGUAGUGGUGCUUAUUCAUCUGCUCAAGGUUCUGCAAACGUUGAUACAAGGAAAAAUGUAAGAAGAUUGUGUUUGUUCAUUUGCGUUUUCCAGCUUGAGCUUUGUGAAUAUGAAUUCAUGGGAUUUUCUUUCUGUUUGCAGUGUGCAGGAAAAGGGAAAAAAGUGAAAUUAAACGAAAAGGAAGAGGAGAAACCAAAGGAUGUGGUACAUGUUAGAGCUAAAAGAGGUCAGGCUACUGAUAGUCACAGUUUAGCAGAGAGGGUAAGUUCUGCCCUUUCCCUCAAGCAUUUCUACGUGCGCAUAAGUUCCUCAAUAUAGCCCCUUUGGUACCCAUUUUUUUCAAAAUGCAUUUUUCUCUCUCUUCUUUUCAACUACACAUUCUUAUUGUCACCCUCGAUAGUGUUAUCACGUUUUAUCAAACAAGAUUGACGAGACAACUUACAAAUAUGCUCGUGAAUUUACACUAUCCCUAUUAAUCAUGAAGGAUGGAAGUUGAUCUUGUGAUAAUCAAUCUUUGAUAUGAUAAGUCGAGAACAACAUCGUCAUCAAACAUACUUUUCCUUUUCUUAGUGCAUUCAGAGUCUCAACCAUACGAAUAAUAAUAUAAUUUGUGAAGUUGAAGGAGAAAUAAUUACACACUUAGACUAGAAGUCAUAACUUGAACUUGGUCAGUGUUUGAACAUAAUUUUUGUUAGGCAUUAUCCCUUUUCCUCCAUUCUUGAUUAUCUUCUCUGACACUGAGAUUAAUUUAAUCCCAUUGAAAUCCAAUGGCCAAUGAUAAAGACCCACAUUUUGGAUAUAUCUCCUGAGCAUGGCCCACAAGGGAACAAAACCAUAAGCUCAAAAGGCCACGUGGCUACCUGAAAUUGCAAUUUUUUAUUUUUUUUAAAAUUCUUUGAUAAAAAGGAAAAACUGUUAUCUUGCCCCACUCUCUCUAUAUAUAAAUCAUCGAAGCCUAC
rnacentral:lncRNA from 1 species